AAAGAUUGGAGUGGGGAGCCUACAAACCAAGGGAUGCUGGCAGCCACCAGAAGCUAAGAGGUCUUACAAAUAGUUUCUAUUUCCCCUCAUAUUAGUAUCGCUGCUAUUUUUUUAAAGCCUCUAUUAUUGAGAAGACACUUCUCCACAACUUCUUUCAAGGGCUGCAGUUAAUUACAUGAAGAGACAGAUGCUGAGCAGCCUUAAGGCUUUCUCUGCCACUGCGGCGAGGCUGAGCUCCACUCAACAAGCAGGUUGUGAGUGAAGACAAAUGCUGUUUGACAAGGCAGCAUAUCCUAGCACCCAGGGUUAGAAAACAGACAAGCCACUCUGUGUUCCCAAGCAAAGACAGAGGAAUAUCAAGCAGAUUGUUUCUGACAGAAAUCAUAUCACAGCCGCUCUUCCAGACAAAGUCCGUGUGAAUGAAAUGAUACACUUUCUGUUUUCCAUCUUCCCCUUUAACAGAAAGCGAGUAUAUCAAAGGUACAUUGAAGGUGACAGCUCAAUGCAAGGUGGUUAGCAAGAUUUUAUAAGCUUGGUUUCCCUUUGGAGAUACCAAGGAAUCAGCAACAGUUCAUCGAUUUGGAUGCUGCAGCUAUUUCUCUUGAUUCUAAUAAAUUCCAACUUCCUAAAUACUGCAACAUAAGUAUGCUAUGUUCAGUGAAUGUUGUGUCAAAAUAUAAAAUUAAAGUCAUGAAUAGCCUUUAUUUCGUAGGGGAAAAUAGAAUAGGUAAUACUCUUCCAAAAUUUAUAAAGCAAUGACUAGCUAGAAAAUUAGUUUCCCAAAUAUAAACUCAU